rnacentral:lncRNA from 1 species
UUUUCUUAUCUAGAAUAGUUCUCUUAUCUCUGCUGGCCGGAGCGCUCUGAUUUUCUACACUGUGUGUAGCUGAUCGAGCAUUUCUCUUUAUUUCGCUGCGGGAUCCAAACUUGUUAUGGUUGAGCCACAUCUCCUUACAGGGCAGCUUUUACACACAGUUCAACAGAGGAAUGGUUCAACUGCAGAUGCCACUUCUCGCUCAGAGGACUCCGUGGCCAAGACCAGUGGGAUCAUCCCUGCUGCAGUUGCUGCCACGCUGUUCAUCGCCUUCAUACUUGCUCUCUACACUGUCCUCUGGAGGUGCAUGGUGUCGCCACCACAGCGAAAGCACAGCAGGGUGAGAAUGAGAGGACAACCGAGGGUUUCUGUGUGA